ACUGUAAGAUGAUGAAGAUAAACAAGAAGUCUGGUUCAAAGGACAAGCAAGAGGCUGGUUCUAGCGGGUCCAAGGACCCGGGCAAGCAAGGAUGAUGACAUUGCUUGGUGGGUUGAUUCGGGUGCAACAAGUCAUGUAUGCAAGGAUCUUCGUUGGUUUAAAGACUUUCAACCAAUCGAAGACGGGUCUAUCAUAAAGAUGGGGAACGUUGCAACUGAACCAAUCAAGGGAAUAGGAACUGUGAAUCUUGUUUUUACUUCUGGAAAAUGUUUACUUUUGAACAAUGUUUUGUAUGUGCCCGGAAUUCGAAAGAAUCUGUUAAGUGGCAUUGUGUUGAAUAAUUGUGGGUACAAACAAGUAUUGGAAAGUGACAAGUAUAUCUUGUCAAGACAUGGUACCUUUGUUGGUUUCGGUUAUCUAUGUAAUGGUAUGUUUAUGUUGAA